rnacentral:lncRNA from 1 species
UACAAGGAUUUUAUAUAUGCACAUAGGUAUAUAAAUAUAUAUACAUAUACACCUUGUUUUUAUCUUCUACUUUUGAUUUUUGAACCAUAUAAAAGUAUUACCUAUUCAAAAAUAAAUAUUUUAUGUGUAUAUGUACAUUUUUUAAUCCUAAUUUAAAAAAAAAUAAAAUUAAAGAAAUAAGUUUAAAAAAAAAGCAGUGGCCACAUAAGCCAGGCACCUAUUUUCUGUCUUCUCUAGGCAACUGUGAUACAUAAAUUACUUCCCACUCUCUCCUUUUCUCUGUCUUACACACAGAGGCUGUAUUUACCUCCUCAAAAUUCAGCUUUGAGCACAAUUUCCUGUUCCAAAAUUCCCUGUGGCUUUGCAUGUCCUAUAGGACAUCCAGUCAUUCUGCAUGGAGUCUAAAUUUAUGUAGGCUGGAGUCUAAAUUUCUUAGUCUAACCUUCAGGGUCCACCACUGACCCCUCAACUCAGUUUUCCAGCCUGUGCUCCAUCACUGCUCCCUUGCUGUAUUAGUCUGUUCUUACACUGCUACACAGAAAUACCUGAGACUGGGUAGUUUAUAAAGGAAAGAGGUUUAAUUGACUCACCGUUUCACAUGACUGGGGAGGCCUCAGGAAACUUACCACCAUGGCAGAAGACGAAGGGGAAGCAAGAACCUUCUUCACAAGGCGGCAGGAGGGAGAAUGAACACAGAACGAACUACCAAACACUUACAAAGCCAUCAGAUCUCAUGACAACUCACUCACUAGCAUGAGAACAGCAUGGGGAAAACCACCCCCAUGAUCAAAUUACCUCCACCUGGUCCCUCCUUUGACACGUGGGGAUUACAAUUCGAGAUGACAUUUGAGUUGGGACACAGAGCCAAAUCAGGAAGGGUCUUCAUCCCAAGGGUCCAGCUACAUUUGCCACACGGAUGGAUUCAAAAAGUUGGGACUCCCUACACUUGGAUGUAGGAGUUGAAAUGUCUAUCAUUUGAGCCUGGGCGUACUGGAUCCCAUAAAAAUGCCACAUGAAAGAAAGCGUAAUUAAGAAGCUUUUCUAUGGCUGGGACAGGGCCAUGGAAUGCACUUCGGGUAUAACAAAAGAUGCUGAAUCUGAACAAGAAUGAACUCAGUCCUAACGUGACAGGUCAGACAGAGCCGCCUUUGUGCCACACCACCCUCCUGCCCUGUCUUCCUUUCCCUUAACGUAUCAUGAUGAGGAACCUCGGUUGUAUUUUAAAAAGCAUAAUAAUUACUUAUACUUCUCUAUGGUUUCCAAUAAACCAGUGAUUUUUUUUUCAAAAAGUCCAUGAAUAAAACAAACCCCGUCACCAUUGGAAAUGCAUUUCCAUGC